rnacentral:rRNA from 1 species
GACGAACGCUGGCGGCGUGCUUAACACAUGCAAGUCGAACGGAAAGGCCCUGCUUUUGUGGGGUUCUCGAUUGGCGAACGGGUGAGUAACACGUGAGUAACCUGCCCUUGACUUUGUGAUAACUUCAGGAAACUGGGGCUAAUACCGGAUAGGAUCUCCUGCUGCAUGGUGGGGGUUGGAAAGUUUCGGCGGUUGGGGCUGGACUCGCGGCUUAUCAGCUUGUUGGUGGGGUAGUGGCUUUCCAAGGCUUUGACGGGUAGCCGGCCUGAGAGGGUGAACGGCCACAUUGGGACUGAGAGACGGAGCAGACGCCUACGGGAGGCAGCAGUGGGGAGUAUUGCACAAUGGGCGGAAGCCUGAGGCAGCAACGCCGGGUGCGGGAAGACGGCCUUCGGGUUGUAAACAGCUUUCGACUGUGACGAAGAGAGAGUGACGGUAAUGGGUAAAGAAGCAACGGCUAACUACGUG